AUGGUAAAAUAUGAUCACAUAACAAUAAGUGGUGAUUUUAAUGUCCAUGUUUGUUGUGAGUCACAGCCUCUGACCCAGGACUUUUUGAACCUCCUGGACUCAUUCAAUCUUAAGCAAGCUGUCACCGGCCCAACACACGGAAAGGGUCACACUCUAGAUCUCGUGUUAUCCUAUGGUGUUUCAGUCUCUGUAAAUGAAAUCUGUGCCAUGUCUUUCUCCGAUCACUCCCCAAUUCUGUUCACUGUGUCAGUCCCAUGCUCAGGUAGUACCCCUAGUGUCUCCAAACGGGUCUCGCACAUGCUUAACUCCUCGACUGCUGGGCAAUUUUCAGCCGCUUUCAAUGACUCCCCCUUGACUAGGCCGUCACUGGGCUUUAGCUCUGAGUAUACUGCUGAUGAGCUUCUUUCUAUGUUCUCAUCAGCUUGCACUGGCAUUCUGGAUUCCGUUGCCCCUUUCAAGCCCAAACGCACUAAAGCACAGUCAACACCACGGCUCAACGAUGCAACGCGCGACCUCAGACGCGCCUGUAGGCGGGCUGAGCGCAAGUGGCAGAAGGACCGCCUUCACGUGUCCCUCCAAAUCCUCCGAAGUUGCUUGGCGGAUUACCGCCGAGCCGUUAAAACCGCCAAAUCAAAGUACAUUUCCUCCCUGGUCUCCAGAAACAGUCACAAACCCCAGGUUCUUUUCAACACACUAAAUUCUCUCAUAAAUCCCAGAAAUGAAUCCCCUGUUGUGCCCUCACCCGCCCUCUGUGAAAGCUUUCAAAAAUUCUUCUUCGAAAAGAUUGCAGCACUCAGGCCUUCUGAUACCUCUGCCACCCCACUCCCCGCCCCUCCCCCCCUUCCCCAGCUAGCUGUUCUCGAGCAGUUUGAGCCCAUUACCCUAUCCUCCCUCUUUGAUGCAGUCAGACAUCUGCAGCCCUCCAACUGCCCCUCUGACUGUCUACCCUCCCGCCUACUCAAGGAUGCUACAGUUUUCGACACAGUUGCCCCCUUCCUUCUACUUUUGAUCAACAUCAUCCUCUCCUCUGGUUGCGUCAAGUCAAGUCAAGUCAAUUUAUUUCUAUAG
rnacentral:lncRNA from 1 species